rnacentral:snRNA from 1 species
AAAAAGGGUCGGUUGGCUAAUUAUGCCACGCUAACCCUCCUAUAUGGUUGGUGCUGUAUGGCUAUCAAGACAUAUGGCCGGCAUAAUUUGUGGAAUUUCCAUAGGGUUGGCUCGCUUGUCGACCCUUCAAUUU